GCUCUCGUAGUGAAAUGGAUAUCACGACUGCCUUCGAAGCAGUUAUUCCAGGUUCGAAUCCUGGCGGGAGCA
rnacentral:tRNA from 1 species